UCGCGGCUUAUCACCGGCAGUCCCCUUAGAGUGCCCAACUAAAUGAUGGCAACUAAGGGCGAGGGUUGCGCUCGUUGCGGGACUUAACCCAACAUCUCACGACACGAGCUGACGACAGCCAUGCAGCACCUGUGUUCCGGUUCCCUUUCGGGCACCCCCGCCUUUCAGCAGGCUUCCGGACAUGUCAAGGGUAGGUAAGGUGGGGAUGACGUGUCGUUACCUUA
rnacentral:misc_RNA from 1 species